rnacentral:rRNA from 1 species
GACGUAGGGCGCGAGCCGUUGUCCGGAUUUAUUGGGCGUAAAGAGCCUCGUAGGCGGCUUGUCGCGUCGUCUGUGAAAUCCCGCGGCUCAACUGCGGGUCUGCAGUCGAUACGGGCAGGCUAGAGUUCGGUAGGGGAGACUGGAAUUCCUGGUGUAGCGGUGAAUGCGCAGAUAUCAGGAGGAACACCGAUGGCGAAGGCAGGUCUCUGGCAUUAACUGACGCUGAGGAGCGGAAAGCAUGGGGAGCGAACAGG